rnacentral:rRNA from 1 species
AAAUUGAAGAGUUUGAUCAUGGCUCAGAUUGAACGCUGGCGGCAGGCCUAACACAUGCAAGUCGAACGGUAACAGGAAGCAGCUUGCUGUUUCGCUGACGAGUGGCGGACGGGUGAGUAAUGUCUGGGAAACUGCCUGAUGGAGGGGGAUAACUACUGGAAACGGUAGCUAAUACCGCAUAACGUCGCAAG